GGGUCAUUAGGUUGGUCGUGCCACCGGUACGUACUGGUCUCACUGAUUCCUCCUUCCUGAAGAACCGUAAUGCCAUUAAUUUGGUGUCGCGGGGAAACAGGACUGUUACUUUGAAAAAAUUAGAGUGUUUAAAGCAAGCUAACGCUUGAAUACAUUAGCAUGGAAUAAUGAAAUAGGACGAUCGAUCCUAUUUUGUUGGUUUCUAGGAUUGACGUA
rnacentral:rRNA from 1 species